UGCACAAUGUGUGGGAGAGCUCUCAUAGGCACACUUUGCCACUCAAGGAGGCAGACCGAGAUACACAUUGUGUCACAAAUGCACACACAUACAUGUUAUGUUGUACGACCAGGCAUAGACGUGUCGUGCUGCAUAAGCGCUUGCGCAUGUUAAUAGACAUGAGUGCAUGUGGGCAUGUCGUGUUGUAGGAACGUGUGCACAAAAACCAUUGUUGUGUGAGUGUGAGGGUGUGAUGCCCUGCGUAAGGAGAAAUACACUCCCGCACAUAAGAGCCAG
rnacentral:lncRNA from 1 species